UACGAAGGGGGCUAGCGUUGUUCGGAAUCACUGGGCGUAAAGGGCGCGUAGGCGGCCGUUCAAGUCGGGGGUGAAAGCCUGUGGCUCAACCACAGAAUUGCCUUCGAUACUGUUCGGCUCGAGACCGGAAGAGGUUGGUGGAACUGCGAGUGUAGAGGUGAAACUCGUAGAUAUUCGCAAGAACACCAGUGGCGAAGGCGGCUGACUGGUCCGGAUCUGACGCUGAGGCGCGAAAGCGUGGGGAGCAAACAGG
rnacentral:rRNA from 1 species